rnacentral:tRNA from 1 species
GCAGCUGUAGUUCAAUUGGUAGAGCACCUGCCCUCCAAGCAGGUUGUUGCGAGUUCGAGUCUCGUUAGCUGCUCCA